GAUCAACGCUGGCGGCGUGCCUAAUGCAUGCAAGUCGAGCGGGGUGGCUUUCGGGCCACUUACGCGGCGGACGGGUGCGGAACACGUGGGCAACCUGCCCUGGGGUGGGGGAUAGCCGGUGGAAACACCGGGUAAUUCCGCAUACGGUCACUGGUCGGAGGACUGGUGAGGAAAGGGUCUUUGGACCCGCCCUGGGAGGGGCCUGCGGCCGAUUAGCUAGACGGUGGGGUAACGGCCUACCGUGGCGAUGAUCGGUAGCUGGUCUGAGAGGACGGCCAGCCACACGGGGACUGAGACACGGCCCCCGACUCCUACGGGAGGCAGCAGCAAGGAAUCUUCCGCAAUGGGCGAAAGCCUGACGGAGCAACGCCGCGUGUGGGAUGACGCCUUUCGGGGUGUAAACCACUUUUCUCAGGGAAGAAGCACUGACGGUACCUGAGGAAGAAGGACCGGCUAACUACGUGCCAGCAGCCGCGGUAAGGUCGUCAUGU
rnacentral:rRNA from 1 species